rnacentral:rRNA from 1 species
GAGUUUGAUCAUGGCUCAGAUUGAACGCUGGCGGCAGGCUUAACACAUGCAAGUCGAGCGGAAACGAGAAUAGCUUGCUAUUCGGCGUCGAGCGGCGGACGGGUGAGUAAUACUUGGGAAUAUGCCUUUAGGUGGGGGACAACAGUUGGAAACGACUGCUAAUACCGCAUAAUGUCUACGGACCAAAGAGGGGGACCUUCGGGCCUCUUGCCUUUAGAUUAGCCCAAGUGAGAUUAGCUAGUAGGUGAGGUAAUGGCUCACCUAGGCGACGAUCUCUAGCUGGUUUGAGAGGAUGAUCAGCCACACUGGGACUGAGACACGGCCCAGACUCCUACGGGAGGCAGCAGUGGGGAAUAUUGCACAAUGGGGGAAACCCUGAUGCAGCCAUGCCGCGUGUGUGAAGAAGGCCCUAGGGUUGUAAAGCACUUUCAGUCGUGAGGAAAGGUUAGUAGGUAAUAUCUGCUAGCUGUGACGUUAGCGACAGAAGAAGCACCGGCUAACUCCGUGCCAGCAGCCGCGGUAAUACGGAGGGUGCGAGCGUUAAUCGGAAUUACUGGGCGUAAAGCGUGCGU